UAUGGCCACAUCACAUUGAAAUAAUGGUUCCCGUAGGAUCACCAAAGUUAAGCAACAUUGAGCCUUGUCAGUACCUAGAUGGGUGACUGCUUGGGAAUACUUGAUGCUGUAAG